rnacentral:rRNA from 1 species
ACGAACGCUGGCGGCAUGCCUAACACAUGCAAGUCGAACGAGACCUUCGGGUCUAGUGGCGCCCGGGUGCGUAACGCGUGGGAACCUGCCCUUAGGUUCGGAAUAACUCCCCGAAAGGGGUGCUAAUACCGGAUAAUGUCUUCGGACCAAAGAUUUAUCGCCUUUGGAUGGGCCCGCGUUGGAUUAGCUAGUUGGUAGGGUAAAAGCCUACCAAGGCGACGAUCCAUAGCUGGUCUGAGAGGAUGAUCAGCCACACUGGGACUGAGACACGGCCCAGACUCCUACGGGAGGCAGCAGUGGGGAAUAUUGGACAAUGGGCGAAAGCCUGAUCCAGCAAUGCCGCGUGAGUGAUGAAGGACUUAGGGUUGUAAAGCUCUUUUACCCGGGAUGAUAAUGACAGUACCGGGAGAAUAAGCUCCGGCUAACUCCGUG